rnacentral:rRNA from 1 species
GCCAUGCAUGUCUAAGUAUAAGCAAUUAUACAGCGAAACUGCGAAUGGCUCAUUAAAUCAGUUAUCGUUUAUUUGAUAGUACCUUACUACAUGGAUAACCGUGGUAAUUCUAGAGCUAAUACAUGCUGAAAACCCCGACUUCGGAAGGGGUGUAUUUAUUAGAUUAAAAACCAAUGCCCUUCGGGGCUCACUGGUGAUUCAUGAUAACUUCUCGAAUCGCACGGCCUUGCGCCGGCGAUGGUUCAUUCAAAUUUCUGCCCUAUCAACUUUCGACGGCUGGGUCUUGGCCAGCCGUGGUGACAACGGGUAACGGAGGGUUAGGGCUCGACCCCGGAGAAAACGCCUGAGAAACGGCGUUUACAUCCAAGGAAGGCAGCAGGCGCGCAAAUUACCCAAUGCCGACACGGCGAGGUAGUGACGAGAAAUACUGAUACAGGGCUCUUUUGGGUCUUGUAAUUGGAAUGAGUACAAUUUAAAUCUCUUAACGAGGAACAAUUGGAGGGCAAGUCUGGUGCCAGCAGCCGCGGUAAUUCCAGCUCCAAUAGCGUAUAUUAAAGUUGUUGCAGUUAAAAAG